rnacentral:rRNA from 1 species
GAGUGGACUCGCGUCCGAUUAGUUAGUUGGUGAGGUAACGGCUCACCAAGACCGCGAUCGGUAGCCGGACUGAGAGGUUGAACGGCCACAUUGGGACUGAGACACGGCCCAGACUCCUACGGGAGGCAGCAUG